rnacentral:pre_miRNA from 1 species
GCUAGGAAGAGGUAGAAAGAGAGAGUUCAAGAGCAAUAGGAAUGGGAACAUGGAGGAAAGCCCUCCUUGUUUGGCAUGAAUCCUUUCCUGAUGCCUCCCAUUCCUACCGUUCUUGUGCACUCCUUCCUCUUCCUCUUGGCU